ensembl:lncRNA
AGCGAAUGCUGCCCAACUUCUACUGCCUACCGAAAGCUGUCCAGCAGCGCCGACCGCUCGCUACGUUUGUGCAUCGGGCGCGUCCUUUCCUUCAGUUCGUCCGGUCGUCGUCGCUUCUACCUCCGCUACAGUUGACAGUCGGUAAACAACAACUUUGAAUAAAUAAAAAAAAUCCUCGCACAGAAGAAGAAUUACAGCUGCGUAAACUGAACUUCCAUCCAGCCCUCCGGAGAGGGGACCGCGGGCAGGAGGCGGAGUCAACAGGUCGCAGAUUUAAGGAGCGGCCGUUGAUUUGGACCUGGAUUUCCUCGAAGGCAGGGAGGAGGAAGAGGUGGAGGAGGAGCACGAGGAGGAUUGACGUUUUUGGGGUGAAAAUCCGUCGCAGACGUGGAAGUCCAACCCAAAAGUGCGGACUCGCUGUCUUAAGAGUGAAGCGACGCUCUGCGUGAAGUGUUCCGACCGACUGGCUCCUACCACCAGGACCACCGCCACGCCAACCAGCAACACCCCCACCUCACCCCCACGGCCAUCUCCACGGCCAUCUCCACGACGACACAACAAGCAGCUUACCGGACCACUUCCGUCCAGCCCAUCUCAUCCCCUCUCUCUAUCUCUCUCUCACUCUUACAUUUACAUUUACAUUUAAGGCAUCUGGCAGACGCUUUAAUCCAAAGCGAUUUACAUCAUUUAAUACACACAUUGACACACCGACGGCAGAGUCAACCAUAAAAGGCGACAGCCAGCUCGUCAGGAGCAGUUAGGAGUUAAGUGUCUUGCUCAGGGACACGUCAACACUCAGUAGGCUAGCUAGGAGGAGCUGGGGAUCGAACUUGCAACACUACUCUUAGACCCUAACUAUCUCUCUCUCUCUCUCUCUCUCUCUCAUCCGUCCAUCUCUCUCUCUCCGCUUCUCCCUCCGUCUCUCUCUUCCCUGAAGACCUUGACCCAAGGAAUAUCGAAGCACCAUCUUGAGUCUCCAA